rnacentral:rRNA from 1 species
AUUGAACGCUGGCGGCAGGCCUAACACAUGCACGUCGAACGAGUGGCGGACGGGUGAGUAAUGUCUGGGAAACUGCCCGAUGGAGGGGGAUAACUACUGGAAACGGUAGCUAAUACCGCAUACCAUCGGAUGUGCCCAGUUGGGAUUAGCUAGUAGGUUGGGUAACGGCGCACCUAGGCGACGAUCCCUCGCUGGUCUGAGAGGAUGACCAGCCACUCGGGAACUGAGACACGGUCCAGACGCCUACGGUAGGCAGCAGGGGGGAAAAUAGCACAAUGGGCGCAAGCCUGAUGCAGCCAUGCCGCGUGUAUGAAGAAGGCCUUCGGGUUGUAAAGUACUUUCAGCGGGGAGGCGUUACCCUCAGAAGAAGCGCCGGCUAACUCCGUGCCAGCAGCCGCGGUGAUUC